rnacentral:rRNA from 1 species
CAGCCGCCGCGGUAAUACGGAGGGCGCGAGCGUUACCCGGAUUUACUGGGCGUAAAGGGCGUGUAGGCGGCCUGGGGCGUCCCAUGUGAAAGGCCACGGCUCAACCGUGGAGGAGCGUGGGAUACGCUCAGGCUAGAGGGUGGGAGAGGGUGGUGGAAUUCCCGGAGUAGCGGUGAAAUGCGCAGAUACCGGGAGGAACGCCGACGGCGGAGGCAGCCACCUGGUCCACUUCUGACGCUGAGGCGCGAAAGCGUGGGGAGCAAACCGGAUUAGAUACCCGCGUAGUCCCUGUCUCUUAUAC